AGUAACGCGUGGGUAACCUGCCUCAUACAGGGGGAGUAACAGUUGGAAACGACUGCUAAUACCGCAUAAGCGCACAGGAUUGCAUGAUCCGGUGUGAAAAACUCCGGUGGUAUGAGAUGGACCCGCGUCUGAUUAGCCAGUUGGCAGGGUAACGGCCUACCAAAGCGACGAUCAGUAGCCGACCUGAGAGGGUGACCGGCCACAUUGGGACUGAGACACGGCCCAGACUCCUACGGGAGGCAGCAUG
rnacentral:rRNA from 1 species